rnacentral:rRNA from 1 species
UAGAGUUUGAUCCUGGCUCAGGACGAACGCUGGCGGCGCGCCUAACACAUGCAAGUCGAACGAGAGAUGAGGAGCUUGCUCUUCAAAUCGAGUGGCGAACGGGUGAGUAACGCGUGAGGAACCUGCCUCAAAGAGGGGGACAACAGUUGGAAACGACUGCUAAUACCGCAUAAGCCCACAGCUCGGCAUCGAGCAGAGGGAAAAGGAGUGAUCCGCUUUGAGAUGGCCUCGCGUCCGAUUAGCUAGUUGGUGAGGUAAUGGCCCACCAAGGCGACGAUCGGUAGCCGGACUGAGAGGUUGAACGGCCACAUUGGGACUGAGACACGGCCCAGACUCCUACGGGAGGCAGCAGUGGGGAAUAUUGCACAACGGGGGAAACCCUGAUGCAGCGACGCCGCGUGGAGGAAGAAGGUCUUCGGAUUGUAAACUCCUGUUGUUGAGGAAGAUAAUGACGGUACUCAACAAGGAAGUGACGGCUAACUACGUGCCAGCAGCCGCGGUAAAACGUAGGUCACAAGCGUUGUCCGGAAUUACUGGGUGUAAAGGGAGCGCAGGCGGGAGAACAAGUUGGAAGUGAAAUCCAUGGGCUCAACCCAUGAACUGCUUUCAAAACUGUUUUUCUUGAGUAGUGCAGAGGUAGGCGGAAUUCCCGGUGUAGCGGUGGAAUGCGUAGAUAUCGGGAGGAACACCAGUGGCGAAGGCGGCCUACUGGGCACCAACUGACGCUGAGGCUCGAAAGUGUGGGUAGCAAACAGGAUUAGAUACCCUGGUAGUCCACGCCGUAAACGAUGAGUGCUAGGUGUCGGGGAGGAAUCCUCGGUGCCGCAGCCAACGCAAUAAGCACUCCACCUGGGGAGUACGACCGCAAGGUUGAAACUCAAAUGAAUUGACGG